rnacentral:rRNA from 1 species
AACGAACGCUGGCGGCGUGCUUAACACAUGCAAGUCGAACGCGAAAGGGACUUCGGUCCUGAGUAAAGUGGCGCACGGGUGAGUAACGCGUGGAUAAUCUACCCGAUGAUCUGGGAUAACAUUUCGAAAGGGGUGCUAAUACCGGAUAAGACCACGGUUUCUUCGGAGACUGCGGUAAAAAGGUGGGGACCUUCGGGCCUACCGUUAUCGGAUGAGUCCGCGUACCAUUAGCUAGUUGGUGGGGUAAGAGCCCACCAAGGCGACGAUGGUUAGCUGGUCUGAGAGGAUGAUCAGCCACACUGGAACUGAGACACGGUCCAGACUCCUACGGGAGGCAGCAGUGGGGAAUUUUGCGCAAUGGGGGAAACCCUGACGCAGCAACGCCGCGUGAGUGAUGAAG